rnacentral:rRNA from 1 species
CGAACGCUGGCGGCAGGCCUAAUACAUGCAAGUCGAACGGCUCUUCGGAGCAGUGGCGGACGGGUGAGUAACGCGUGGGAAUGUGCCCUUUGGUACGGAACAACACAGGGAAACUUGUGCUAAUACCGUAUGUGCCCUUCGGGGGAAAGAUUUAUCGCCAUUGGAGCAGCCCGCGUUGGAUUAGGUAGUUGGUGAGGUAAAGGCUCGCCAAGCCGACGAUCCAUAGCUGGUCUGAGAGGAUGAUCAGCCACACUGGGACUGAGACACGGCCCAGACUCCUACGGGAGGCAGCAGUAGGGAAUCUUGCGCAAUGGGCGAAAGCCUGACGCAGCCAUGCCGCGUGUAUGAUGAAGGUCUUAGGAUUGUAAAAUACUUUCACCGGGGAAGAUAAUGACGGUACCCGGAGAAGAAGCCCCGGCUAACUUCGUGCCAGCCGCCGCAGUAACAC